rnacentral:SRP_RNA from 1 species
GCCGGGCGUGGUGGCUCACGCCUGUAAUUCCAGCACUUUAGGAGGCUGAGGCGGGUGGAUCACCUGAGGUCAGGAGUUCGAGACCAGUCUGGCCAACAUGGUGAAACCCCGUCUCUA